AUUAUCGUCUCAUUUCAGACUGAAAAGCAUCAUGGCAGAACAAAACCAUGGGUAUGAUGAUAAAAAUCAUUUGAUACCGAAAGUCAACAUAAUUCCACCAAACGAUUGUGCGGAAGAUAAUAAAGUGAAAGAGGAAAAAAUAGAAAAUGAAUCAGAUGAUGGAAUGUCAUCAGGAUCAAAGAGUCGUAACAAAC